AGAGUUUGAUCCUGGCUCAGGAUGAACGCUGGCGGCGUGCCUAAUACAUGCAAGUCGAGCGAGCUUGCCUAGAUGAUUUUAGUGCUUGCACUAAAUGAAACUAGAUACAAGCGAGCGGCGGACGGGUGAGUAACACGUGGGUAACCUGCCCAAGAGACUGGGAUAACACCUGGAAACAGAUGCUGAUACCGGAUAACAACACUAGACGCAUGUCUAGAGUUUGAAAGAUGGUUCUGCUAUCACUCUUGGAUGGACCUGCGGUGCAUUAGCUAGUUGGUAAGGUAACGGCUUACCAAGGCAAUGAUGCAUAGCCGAGUUGAGAGACUGAUCGGCCACAUUGGGACUGAGACACGGCCCAAACUCCUACGGGAGGCAGCAGUAGGGAAUCUUCCACAAUGGACGAAAGUCUGAUGGAGCAACGCCGCGUGAGUGAAGAAGGGUUUCGGCUCGUAAAGCUCUGUUGGUAGUGAAGAAAGAUAGAGGUAGUAACUGGCCUUUAUUUGACGGUAAUUACUUAGAAAGUCACGGCUAACUACGUGCCAGCAGCCGCGGUAAUACGUAGGUGGCAAGCGUUGUCCGGAUUUAUUGGGCGUAAAGCGAGUGCAGGCGGUUCAAUAAGUCUGAUGUGAAAGCCUUCGGCUCAACCGGAGAAUUGCAUCAGAAACUGUUGAACUUGAGUGCAGAAGAGGAGAGUGGAACUCCAUGUGUAGCGGUGGAUGCGUAGAUAUAUGGAAGAACACCAGUGGCGAAGGCGGCUCUCUGGUCUGCAACUGACGCUGAGGCUCGAAAGCAUGGGUAGCGAACAGGAUUAGAUACCCUGGUAGUCCAUGCCGUAAACGAUGAG
rnacentral:rRNA from 1 species